rnacentral:rRNA from 1 species
CUGGGAGGACCAUCUCCUAAGGCUAAAUACUCUCUAGUGACCGAUAGUGAACCAGUACCGUGAGGGAAAGGUGAAAAGCACCCCGGAAGGGGAGUGAAAUAGAACCUGAAACCGUGUGCUUACAAGUAGUCAGAGCCCGUUAAUGGGUGAUGGCGUGCCUUUUGUAGAAUGAACCGGCGAGUUACGAUUUGAUGCAAGGUUAAGCAGUAAAUGUGGAGCCGUAGCGAAAGCGAGUCUGAAUAGGGCGUUUAGUAUUUGGUCGUAGACCCGAAACCAGGUGAUCUACCCUUGGUCAGGUUGAAGUUCAGGUAACACUGAAUGGAGGACCGAACCGACUUACGUUGAAAAGUGAGCGGAUGAACUGAGGGUAGCGGAGAAAUUCCAAUCGAACCUGGAGAUAGCUGGUUCUCUCCGAAAUAGCUUUAGGGCUAGCCUCAAGUGAUGAUUAUUGGAGGUAGAGCACUGUUUGGACGAGGGGCCCCUCUCGGGUUACCGAAUUCAGACAAACUCCGAAUGCCAAUUAAUUUAACUUGGGAGUCAGAACAUGGGUGAUAAGGUCCGUGUUCGAAAGGGAAACAGCCCAGACCACCAGCUAAGGUCCCAAAAUAUAUGUUAAGUGGAAAAGGAUGUGGCGUUGCCCAGACAACUAGGAUGUUGGCUUAGAAGCAGCCAUCAUUUAAAGAGUGCGUAAUAGCUCACUAGUCGAGUGACACUGCGCCGAAAAUGUACCGGGGCUAAACAUAUUACCGAAGCUGUGGAUUGUCCUUUGGACAAUGGUAGGAGAGCGUUCUAAGGGCGUUGAAGCAUGAUCGUAAGGACAUGUGGAGCGCUUAGAAGUGAGAAUGCCGGUGUGAGUAGCGAAAGACGGGUGAGAAUCCCGUCCACCGAUUGACUAAGGUUUCCAGAGGAAGGCUCGUCCGCUCUGGGUUAGUCGGGUCCUAAGCUGAGGCCGACAGGCGUAGGCGAUGGAUAACAGGUUGAUAUUCCUGUACCACCUAUAAUCGUUUUAAUCGAUGGGGGGACGCAGUAGGAUAGGCGAAGCGUGCGAUUGGAUUGCACGUCUAAGCAGUAAGGCUGAGUA